rnacentral:misc_RNA from 1 species
UAGUGCUACCUCAAUGACAUCGAAG